CUCUGAAUAUCCUCAUGGUUUAUCCCGAGAGGGAAGACCUUAAGAUUUGUGACUUUGGGUUUGCUCAGAAGAUCACACCCUUGGAGCCUCAGUUCAGUAAAUACGGGUCUCCAGAAUUUGUUGCCCCAGAAAUUGUCUCUCAGUCACCGGUGUCAAAAGCAACCGAUAUCUGGGCUGUUGGAGUCAUCACCUACUUAAGGUAAGAACAUCUGCUUGCAUGUACUUGUUUGAUGCCCUUUUGUUGGUCAGAGCCCUCCAGCUCUGUCAAGUGUGUGCUCUGAGGCAGUGAAGCAUUGAGUUCUUUGGUGAUUUAUUUU
rnacentral:lncRNA from 1 species